rnacentral:rRNA from 1 species
AUUGAACGCUGGCGGCAGGCCUAACACAUGCAAGUCGAGCGAGCGGCGGACGGGUGAGUAAUGUAUGGGGACUGCCCGAUAGAGGGGGAUAACUACUGGAAACGGUAGCUAAUACCGCAUACUAUCGGAUAACCCAUAUGGGAUUAGCUAGUAGGUGAGGUAAUGGCUCACCUAGGCGACGCUCCCUCGCUGGUCUGAGAGGAUGAUCAGCCACCCUGGGACUGAGACACGGCCCAGACUCCUACGGAGGAAGCAGGGGGGAAUAUUGGACAAGGGGCGCAAGCCGUAUGCAGCCAUGCCGCGUGUAUGAAGAAGGCCCUAGGGUUGUAAAGUACUUUCAGCCGGGAGGCGUUACCGACAGAAGAAGCACCGGCUAACUCCGUGCCAGCAGCCGCGGUAAUAC